GCUUGCCUUAAUAUCUAGAUUUAUACCCGAACUCUUACCGAACUCGAGCGUCCUUAUUUAGAUAGCCACACAUACUACUUUUGUGGGAACCAUGGCUUUUUCAUAUAGUAAUA
rnacentral:rRNA from 1 species